UUGUACAGAUCAUAGACGAACAACGACCAACAGUGGUUUCUAGGAACGGUACGGUUUUAGACUAUAAAACCCAGAGUAGAGGUGUAGGUUGUUCUACAACGAACGAAACUCUAGAGACACUUAAUAGCAGUAAGAGCUUAGUACCACCUCCAUGUGUUCAGGAGAUCGAUGGGGAAACUAAUACGAUUUGGAACAACCGGUUAGUUCGUAUUUAGAAAAUCGUAGUAGACAUACGGCUGUUAUACAAUUCA
rnacentral:rRNA from 1 species